GCGGAUGUGGUGAAACUGGCAGACACGCUACUUUGAGGUGGUAGUGCCCCUAACACGGGCGUGCAGGUUCGACCCCUGUCAUCCGCA
rnacentral:tRNA from 1 species